GGCUGCGCGCGCGUUUGAGCGCUCGCGCGCGGCGACCCGUCUGUCUCCUUUUUUUUUUUUUAUUAUUUUUUUAAAUGCAGCCUGGUUUAUUGGGCUCUCGGCGUAUUCUUGCGUUCCUUCUGCACUGGGACAAGACACCACUGCACUAUUGGACUACGGCAAGCUGGUGCCGUCCGGUGGAGCUUCAUACAGGAACUACUGCCUUACCUGCUGGGGUCACAACGUUGGAUGAACGCACAAAAAGCGCGGAACGAGCUUUUAUAUAGAGCAAAAUAAAUAUUUCCUCAUUGCACAAAA